rnacentral:lncRNA from 1 species
GCUGUUUGGCUGAGGCACUGGUGAAGAACUGUGGCUUGAUGCCAUUGCAUAAAAUCACCACUUGAUAAAAGCUUGGUGAAAACACUCCCGGAGCACCUGAAGAAGGCCGUCGUCAUAUCUCUGCCGGUUGCAUCAUACGAGAACCGCCUGCUGCUGUGGCUGCGCGGCAGCCGAGGACCUGCGGCCUACUGCGCACCGCCGCGCCGACACGUCGCUCCCCGGCGCAGGAAGCGGCCCGGGCGGCGGCACGGAGGCACGGCGGUACGGCGGCGGGGGGAGCCCAGGCGCCGCCUCUCCCUCCCCGGCGCUCGGAGGAGGAGCCGCGGACGGCGGAAGGGGCUGCCCCCGACCGGGGGUGGCCCCGGGGGUGUCCCUGCGGCCGUCGCCGUGGCCGCGCCGCCAUUUGCGGGGCCCCCGGCGCCAUGCCGGGCUGCGGGCACGCAGCUGCCGCCGCCCUGCUCGCGGGCGGCCCCGCGGCUCGGCAUGCCGUCAGACUUGCAUUUUGGACGCUAAUUCCGCAGCAGGCCGCCAAAGUCGUGUCGGGGAGAGUCAGGGUGGCGAUUAAAGCGAGGUUCUUCGCUUUGGGUGGCGCUGGAACGGCUCCCCCGGGGCAGCGGGCACGGCGCCGAGCGGCCGGAGUUGGUUCGGACGCUGCUCUCACAAACAGCGUUUAACGUUCAGCUGCUGCUGAACUCGGGGUAUCCUACAGAACGCAGGGCGCGCCGCGUCCCGACGAAACACUAACACUCCAAACGUAUCGCAGUGCAGGGCCGCUCGGGGCUCUGGUUAAUUAACGGCAGUGAUGCCAUUGGUAUUAAGGAGCAGGUGGACGCGCCGCCGUGGGCUGCUGGCUACGUGUGGGUGGCGGUGGAAGUUCACGCCCUGCACGCACCCCGCCUGCCCCCCCUGCCGGCACCGAGCGCCGUCGGUUCUGGCUGUUGUGACUGCUGGAUAACCGCGUGAGGAGAAUUUGGCGGCCCGGCAGCCCAGCUCACUCAACCACGUCACCACAGCUGCCUCUAAGGUGUUUUUUCACUCCUCGGUGGUGAACGCUGACAGGCCUCUGUUGUGUGCGACGUGUUCUGCAGGCUCCAGAGCAGGCAGUUCCGAGUGGCGGCCACAGGGACCACGAGUCAGAGCUGUGAGGAUUCUUGGAUUGCUUCCUUGGGAGCACCGCAGCUGUCCUGAGUAGUGUUUGUCCUCCUCAGGGUACCCCUUUAAAGGGCAGCGGGCUCCCGUCUUCAGCUCCUCACUUCUCACAUGUAGUAAGGCAAUGGAAAAGUGCUGACAAAUGUAACAACCUCAGACUGCUGCUAGUGCAGCACACCGGGCUUUUUUGCAAGAGAAAUGAGUUGUAGAUGCAGGGAAGAGAAAUAGAUACAUGCACACGUUGCACGUAAAUAGCAGGAAGAGAGUUGUGGAGAUACUGCUGCCUCUACAGGACAUUAUUACUCUGCCUUUUACUAGCUGACUUGAAGAGACUGCAUGUCAUGCAUGCAGUAUCCCGUUCCCUUUUUCCUGUCUCACCUCUUCUGCAACAUGGCAGAAAGCUGUAUCAGGCCAAACAAAUGGCACAGGCUGUGAAAGACUUAUCCCAAAGAAUCACUUGAUUUAAACCUUUAAAUCCAGUACAUUUAAAGCACAGAUCCAGCAGCAAGCAAGCCAUUGUACACCCCACAGUAGAGGCUGCGGUGUGGAUGCUGCGUUCACAGGACAGACUGCAUCUUUGUCAGUUCAAAGCUGUGUUUUGCUGAUUCUAUUGUCUUCAGCAGCAAAGUGACACGGGUAUUCACACCUGUGCAUUUACACACUUAGGCUGUAGCUUCCAGGGGGACUGCUCUUCUGUCUUAACAUUAGCAUGGGUGUAAGCGUGAGGCAGAGUCACAGCUUUUGGAUUUAGGGCAUGGAAUCUCCUGGUCAGGUUUCCCAAGUAGGGCAGCACUAUUAGUGGGACCUGCUGUUACACCCAGCACGCUGUACGUUCUUGUUGGCUUGUGGAGCUCAUGUCAGCUGUUAGCUCUGCAGACACUGCAGAAAGGAUUGCUUGAGAGUUGUGGGUGGGAGGAUUUCUGAAGGGCAGUGGAAAUUUGUGGCUGCAGUUUUCUUGCUUUCACUUCUUGAUUUCACUUUCUUGGGCCGC